rnacentral:rRNA from 1 species
UACGAAGGGGGCUAGCGUUGUUCGGAAUUACUGGGCGUAAAGCGCGCGCAGGCGGUCUUCCAAGUCAGUGGUGAAAGCCCGGAGCUCAACUCCGGAACUGCCAUUGAAACUGUUGGACUUGAGUACGAGAGAGGUGAGUGGAAUUCCCAGUGUAGAGGUGAAAUGCGCAGAUAUCAGGAAGAACACCCGUGGCUAAGGCGGCUCUCUAGUACGGUACUGACGCUGAGACGCGAAAGUGUGGGGAGCGAACAGG